CGGGAUGUAGCGCAGCCUGGUAGCGCACCUGCUUCGGGAGCAGGGGGCCGCUGGUUCAAAUCCAGUCAUCCCGACCA
rnacentral:tRNA from 9 species